rnacentral:rRNA from 1 species
GAUAAACGCUGGCGGCGUGCCUAAUACAUGCAAGUCGAGCGAACGGACGAGAAGCUUGCUUCUCUGAUGUUAGCGGCGGACGGGUGAGUAACACGUGGAUAACCUACCUAUAAGACUGGGAUAACUUCGGGAAACCGGAGCUAAUACCGGAUAAUAUUUUGAACCGCAUGGUUCAAAAGUGAAAGACGGUCUUGCUGUCACUUAUAGAUGGAUCCGCGCUGCAUUAGCUAGUUGGUAAGGUAACGGCUUACCAAGGCAACGAUGCAUAGCCGACCUGAGAGGGUGAUCGGCCACACUGGAACUGAGACACGGUCCAGACUCCUACGGGAGGCAGCAGUAGGGAAUCUUCCGCAAUGGGCGAAAGCCUGACGGAGCAACGCCGCGUGAGUGAUGAAGGUCUUCGGAUCGUAAAACUCUGUUAUUAGGGAAGAACAUAUGUGUAAGUAACUGUGCACAUCUUGACGGUACCUAAUCAGAAAGCCACGGCUAACUACGUGCCAGCAGCCGCGGUAAUACGUAGGUGGCAAGCGUUAUCCGGAAUUAUUGGGCGUAAAGCGCGCGUAGGCGGUUUUUUAAGUCUGAUGUGAAAGCCCACGGCUCAACCGUGGAGGGUCAUUGGAAACUGGAAAACUUGAGUGCAGAAGAGGAAAGUGGAAUUCCAUGUGUAGCGGUGAAAUGCGCAGAGAUAUGGAGGAACACCAGUGGCGAAGGCGACUUUCUGGUCUGUAACUGACGCUGAUGUGCGAAAGCGUGGGGAUCAAACAGGAUUAGAUACCCUGGUAGUCCACGCCGUAAACGAUGAGUGCUAAGUGUUAGGGGGUUUCCGCCCCUUAGUGCUGCAGCUAACGCAUUAAGCACUCCGCCUGGGGAGUACGACCGCAAGGUUGAAACUCAAAGGAAUUGACGGGGACCCGCACAAGCGGUGGAGCAUGUGGUUUAAUUCGAAGCAACGCGAAGAACCUUACCAAAUCUUGACAUCCUUUGACAACUCUAGAGAUAGAGCCUUCCCCUUCGGGGGACAAAGUGACAGGUGGUGCAUGGUUGUCGUCAGCUCGUGUCGUGAGAUGUUGGGUUAAGUCCCGCAACGAGCGCAACCCUUAAGCUUAGUUGCCAUCAUUAAGUUGGGCACUCUAAGUUGACUGCCGGUGACAAACCGGAGGAAGGUGGGGAUGACGUCAAAUCAUCAUGCCCCUUAUGAUUUGGGCUACACACGUGCUACAAUGGACAAUACAAAGGGCAGCGAAACCGCGAGGUCAAGCAAAUCCCAUAAAGUUGUUCUCAGUUCGGAUUGUAGUCUGCAACUCGACUACAUGAGGCUGGAAUCGCUAGUAAUCGUAGAUCAGCAUGCUACGGUGAAUACGUUCCCGGGUCU